AGAGUUUGAUCCUGGCUCAGAACGAACGCUGGCGGCGUGGAUUAGGCAUGCAAGUCGAACGAGAACUUGAGGAGCCGAGGCUUCGGCCAAAGCAUUUCAAGUGAGAGUGGCGAAAGGGUGAGGAACACGUGAGUAACCUACCCAAAGGUGGGGGAUAACCUUCCGAAAGGAGGGCUAAUACCGCAUAUGACCACGAUGUCUUCGGGCAUCGAGGUAAAAGAUGGCCUCUAUUUAUAAGCUGUCACCUUAGGAUGGGCUCGCGGCUUAUCAGCUUGUUGGUGGGGUAAUGGCCUACCAAAGCAAUGACGAGUAGCUGGUCUGAGAGGAUGGUCAGCCACAUCGGGACUGAGACACUGCCCGGACUCCUACGGGAGGCUGCAGUCGAGAAUCUUUCGCAAUGGGGGAAACCCUGACGAAGCGACGCCGCGUGCAGGAUGAAGGCCUUCGGGUUGUAAACUGCUGUCACCCAAGAAGAAAACUGUAUAGAUUAAUACUCUUUACAAUUGACUGUAUUGGGAGAGGAAGCAACGGCUAACUCUGUGCCAGCAGCCGCGGUAAUACAGAGGUUGCAAGCGUUGUUCGGAUUCAUUGGGUGUAAAGGGUGUGUAGGCGGCUAAGUAAGUUAGAUGUGAAAUCCCGGAGCUUAACUCCGGAACGGCAUUUGAUACUGCUUAGCUAGAGUACGUCAGAGGAAAGGGGAAUUCCUGGUGUAAGGGUGAAAUCUGCAGAUAUCAGGAGGAAGAUCAGUGGCGAAGGCGCCUUUCUGGGACGAUACUGACGCUGAGACACGAAAGCUAAGGUAGCGAACGGGAUUAGAUACCCCGGUAGUCUUAGCUGUAAACGAUGGGUACUAGGCGUUGGAAGGGUCAAACCUUUCAGUGCCGCCGCUAACGCAUUAAGUACCCCACCUGGGGAGUACGGUCGCAAGAUUGAAACUCAAAGGAAUUGACGGGGACCCGCACAAAUGGUGGAGCAUGUGGUUUAAUACGACGAUACGCGUGAAACCUCACCCAGGCUUGACAUGUAUUAGACGGUUUGUAGAAAUACAUUCUUUCCCUUACGGGACUGAUACACAGGUGUUGCAUGGCUGUCGUCAGCUCGUGUCGUGAGAUGUUGGGUUAAGUCCCGCAACGAGCGCAACCCCUAUCCUUAGUUGCCAACGGUUCGGCCGGGGACUCUAAGGAGACUGCCGCGGAUAACGCGGAGGAAGGUGGGGAUGACGUCAAGUCAGUACGGCCCUUACGCCUGGGGCUACACACGUGCUACAAUGGCUGGUACAAAGGGUUGCAAAACCGCGAGGUGGAGCCAAUCCCAAAAAACCAGCCCCAGUUCGGAUUGAAGGCUGCAAUUCGCCUUCAUGAAGCCGGAAUCAUUAGUAACCCUGCAUAAGUCACGGCAGGGUGAAUACGUUCCCGGGUCUUGUACACACCGCCCGUCAAGUCAUCCGAGUAGGAUGCACCCGAAGUCGUUGCUCUAACCCGCGAGGGAGGAGCGCUUCUAAGGUGUGUUUUAUGAGGAGGACUAAGUCGUAACAAGGUA
rnacentral:rRNA from 1 species